GGUGGGAAGGAGGACCGGCCGAACCCUGGGUGUGGGACAGAGUGCGUGCGUGUGGUGUGUCCCCAAGGACAGGAAGGUGGCGAAGGGAGGCGAAUCCGAGUGGGUGGAGGGAGGGGAAGGGCGGGAGGAGAAAAAGGUGGGAGGAGGACCAGGUGGGAGGGUGGCGGCUCACUCAGGACCCAGCGGGGGCAGCGCGAUGAGGCGGGUGACCCUGUUCCUGAACGGCAGCCCCAAGAACGGAAAGGUGGUUGCUGUAUAUGGAACUUUAUCUGAUUUGCUUUCUGUGGCCAGCAGUAAACUCGGCAUAAAAGCCACCAGUGUGUAUAAUGGGAAAGGUGGACUGAUUGAUGAUAUUGCUUUGAUCAGGGAUGAUGAUGUUUUGUUUGUUUGUGAAGGAGAGCCAUUUAUUGAUCCUCAGACAGAUUCUAAGCCUCCUGAGGGAUUGUCAGGAUUCCACACAGACUGGCUGACAUUAAAUGUUGGAGGGCGGUACUUUACAACUACACGGUAGGUGUGUGUGUAUGUGUGUUAGAAAGAGAAU
rnacentral:sRNA from 1 species